rnacentral:rRNA from 1 species
AGGGCACUACCAGGAGUGGAUCCUGCGGCUCAAUUUGACUCAACACGGGAAAGCUCACCUGGUCCGGACACUGGAAGGAUUGACAGAUUAAGAGCUCUUUCUUGAUUCAGUGGGUGGUGGUGCAUGGCCGUUCUUAGUUGGUGGAGCGAUUUGUCUGGUUAAUUCCGAUAACGAACGAGACUCUAGCCUACUAAAUAGGUGUUCCGAUCCCAUCAGUCGGACGCUCUUCUUAGAGGGACAAGCGGCGUUUAGCCGCACGAGACAGAGCAAUAACAGGUCUGUGAUGCCCUUAGAUGUCCGGGGCCGCACGCGCGCUACACUGAAGGAACCAGCGUGUGUCCCUGUCCGGCAGGACUGGGUAAUCCGUUGAACCUCCUUCGUGAUAGGGAUAGGGGCUUGUAAUUGUUCCCCUUGAACGAGGAAUUCCCAGUAAGCGUGAAUCAUCAGUUCGCGAUGAUUACGUCCCAGGCCUUUGUACACACCGCCAGAACUACUAUGAUUGGAUAAUUUAGUGAGGUC